rnacentral:rRNA from 1 species
UGCAGUCGAAGAUGACUCUCUAGCUUGCUAGAGAUGAUUAGUGGCGGACGGGUGAGUAACAUUUAGGAAUCUACCUAGUAGUGGGGGAUAGCUCGGGGAAACUCGAAUUAAUACCGCAUACGACCUACGGGUGAAGGGGGGCGCAAGCUCUUGCUAUUAGAUGAGCCUAAAUCAGAUUAGCUAGUUGGUGGGGUAAAGGCCUACCAAGGCGACGAUCUGUAACUGGUCUGAGAGGAUGAUCAGUCACACCGGAACUGAGACACGGUCCGGACUCCUACGGGAGGCAGCAGUGGGGAAUAUUGGACAAUGGGGGCAACCCUGACCCAGCCAUGCCGCGUGUGUGAAGAAGGCCUUUUGGUUGUAAAGCACUUUAAGCAGGGAGGAGAGGCUAAUGGUUAAUACCCAUUAGAUUAGACGUUACCUGCAGAAUAAGCACCGGCUAACUCUGUGCCAGCAGCCGCGGUAAUACAGAGGGUGCGAGCGUUAAUCGGAAUUACUGGGCGUAAAGCGAGUGUAGGUGGCUCAUUAAGUCACAUGUGAAAUCCCCGGGCUUAACCUGGGAACUGCAUGUGAUACUGGUGGUGCUAGAAUAUGUGAGAGGGAAGUAGAAUUCCAGGUGUAGCGGUGAAAUGCGUAGAGAUCUGGAGGAAUACCGAUGGCGAAGGCAGCUUCCUGGCAAAUAUUGACACUGAGAUUCGAAGC